GACGAACGCUGGCGGCGUGCUUAACACAUGCGAGUCGAACGGAAAGGCCCUGCUUUUGUGGGGUGCUCGAGUGGCGAACGGGUGAGUAACACGUGAGUAACCUGCCCUUGACUUUGGGAUAACUUCAGGAAACUGGGGCUAAUACCGGAUAGGAGCUCCUGCUGCAUGGUGGGGGUUGGAAAGUUUCGGCGGUUGGGGAUGGACUCGCGGGUUAUCAGCUUGUUGGUGGGGUAGUGGCUUACCAAGGCUUUGACGGGUAGCCGGCCUGAGAGGGUGACCGGCGACAUUGGGACUGAGAUACGGCCCAGACUGCUACGGGAGGCAGCAGUGGGGAAUAUUGCACAAUGGGCGGAAGCCUGAUACAGCAACGCCGCGUGCGGGAUGCCGGCCUUCGGGUUGUAAACCGAUUUCGCCUGUGACGAAGAGUGAGUGACGGUAAUGGGUAAAGAAGCACCGGCUAACUACGUG
rnacentral:rRNA from 1 species